GAUGAACGCUGGCGGCGUGCUUAACACAUGCGAGUCGAACGGGAAACCUUUUAUUGAAGCUUCGGCAGAUUUAGCUGGUUUCUAGUGGCGGACGGGUGAGUAACGCGUGGGUAACCUGCCUUAUACAGGGGGAUAACAGUCAGAAAUGGCUGCUAAUACCGCAUAAGCGCACAGAGCUGCAUGGCUCAGUGUGAAAAACUCCGGUGGUAUAAGAUGGACCCGCGUUGUAUUAGCUGGUUGGUGGGGUAACGGCCCACCAAGGCGACGAUCCAUAGCCGGCCUGAGAGGGUGAACGGCCACAUUGGGACUGAGACACGGCCCAGACUCCUACGGGAGGCAGCAGUGGGGAAUAUUGCACAAUGGGGGAAACCCUGAUGCAGCGACGCCGCGUGAAGGAAGAAGUAUCUCGGUAUGUAAACUUCUAUCAGCAGGGAAGAUAAUGACGGUACCUGACUAAGAAGCCCCGGCUAACUACGUG
rnacentral:rRNA from 1 species